UUUAUUGGAGAGUUUGAUCCUGGCUCAGGAUGAACGCUGGCGGCGUGCCUAAUACAUGCAAGUCGAGCGAAUGGAUUAAGAGCUUGCUCUUAUGAAGUUAGCGGCGGACGGGUGAGUAACACGUGGGUAACCUGCCCAUAAGAC
rnacentral:rRNA from 1 species